CGGCCCAGACUCCUACGGGAGGCAGCAGUGGGGAAUUUUGGACAAUGGGGGAAACCCUGAUCCAGCAAUGCCGCGUGUGCGAAGAAGGCCUUCGGGUUGUAAAGCACUUUUGUCAGGGAAGAAAUCCUUUGGGCUAAUACCCUAGGGGGAUGACGGUACCUGAAGAAUAAGCACCGGCUAACUACGUGCCAGCAGCCGCGGUAAUACGUAGGGUGCGAGCGUUGUCCGGAAUUAUUGGGCGUAAAGAGCUCGUAGGCGGUUUGUCACGUCUGCUGUGAAAGCCCAGGGCUUAACCCUGGGUUUGCAGUGGGUACGGGCAGGCUAGAGUGCAGUAGGGGAGACUGGAAUUCCUGGUGUAGCGGUGAAAUGCGCAGAUAUCAGGAGGAACACCGAUGGCGAAGGCAGGUCUCUGGGCAGUAACUGACGCUGAGGAGCGAAAGCAUGGGUAGCGAACAGGAUUAGAUACCCUGGUAGUCCACGCCGUAAAC
rnacentral:rRNA from 14 species